UGGGGAAUAUUGCACAAUGGGGGAAACCCUGAUGCAGCAACGCCGCGUGAGUGAUGACGGCCUUCGGGUUGUAAAGCUCUGUCUUCAGGGACGAUAAUGACGGUACCUGAGGAGGAAGCCACGGCUAACUACGUGCCAGCAGCCGCGGUAAUACGUAGGUGGCAAGCGUUGUCCGGAUUUACUGGGCGUAAAGGGAGCGUGGGCGGACUUUUAAGUGAGAUGUGAAAUACCCGGGCUCAACCUGGGUGCUGCAUUUCAAACUGGAAGUCUAGAGUGCAGGAGAGGAGAGUGGAAUUCCUAGUGUAGCGGUGAAAUGCGUAGAGAUUAGGAAGAACACCAGUGGCGAAGGCGACUCUCUGGACUGUAACUGACGCUGAGGCUCGAAAGCGUGGGGAGCAAAC
rnacentral:rRNA from 1 species